UGUAGCUCAAAGGUAGAGCGCUUGUCUCAUGUAUAAAAGGGCCUGGGUCCAAUCCCCAACA
rnacentral:tRNA from 1 species